rnacentral:rRNA from 1 species
UACGUAGGGGGCAAGCGUUGUCCGGAUUUAUUGGGCGUAAAGCGCGUGUAGGCUGCCCGUUAGGUCCGUUGUGAAAACUCGAGGCUCAACCUCGAGACGCCGAUGGAAACCAAUUGGCUAGAGUCCGGAAGAGGAGAGUGGAAUUCCCGGUGUAGCGGUGAAAUGCGCAGAUAUCGGGAAGAACACCCGUGGCUAAGGCGGCUCUCUAGUACGGUACUGACGCUGAGACGCGAAAGCGUGGGGAGCGAACAGG